ACUCAAAUGAAUUGACGGGGACCCGCACAAGCGGUGGAGGAUGUGGUUUAAUUCGAAGCUACGCGCAGAACCUUACCAGCCUUUGACAUGCCUUCUAUGAGCCUGAGAGAUCAGGUUCUUCGGUUCGGCCGGGAAGAGCACAGGUGCUGCAUGGCUGUCGUCAGCUCGUGUCGUGAGAUGUUGGGUUAAGUCCCGCAACGAGCGCAACCCUUGCCGUUAGUUGCCAUCAGGUAAAGCUGGGCACUUUAACGGAACAGCCGGUGAAAGCCGGAGGAAGGUGGGGAUGACGUCAAGUCCUCAUGGCCCUUAUGGGCUGGGCUACACACGUCCUACAAUGGCAUUGACAGAGGGAAGCUACCUUGCAAGAGGAAGCGGAUCCCAAAAAGAUGUCUCAGUUCGGAUUGUCCUCUGAAACUCGAGGGCAUGAAGUCGGAAUCGCUAGUAAUCGUGGAUCAGCAUGCCACGGUGAAUACGUUCUCGGGUCUUGUACACACCGCCCGU
rnacentral:rRNA from 1 species